UACGUAGGGGGCAAGCGUUAUCCGGAAUUACUGGGUGUAAAGGGUGCGUAGGUGGUAUGGCAAGUCAGAAGUGAAAACCCAGGGCUUAACUCUGGGACUGCUUUUGAAACUGUCAGACUGGAGUGCAGGAGAGGUAAGCGGAAUUCCUAGUGUAGCGGUGAAAUGCGUAGAUAUUAGGAGGAACAUCAGUGGCGAAGGCGGCUUACUGGACUGAAACUGACACUGAGGCACGAAAGCGUGGGGAGCAAACAGGAUUAGAUAUCCUGGUAGUCCACU
rnacentral:rRNA from 1 species